UACAGAGGGGGCUAGCGUUAUUCGGAAUUACUGGGCGUAAAGGGCGCGUAGGCGGCCUUCUAAGUCGAACGUGAAAUCCCCGGGCUCAACCCGGGAACUGCGUCCGAUACUGGAAGGCUUGAAUCCGGGAGAGGGAUGCGGAAUUCCAGGUGUAGCGGUGAAAUGCGUAGAUAUCUGGAGGAACACCGGUGGCGAAGGCGGCAUCCUGGACCGGCAUUGACGCUGAGGUGCGAAAGCGUGGG
rnacentral:rRNA from 1 species